GUUUUCGGUAUUCAUUUUGAAUUAUAUACUCUUGCAAUAUUAAAGGAUAAAGUUUGAUUCUUGAUGUUAAGAUUAUAGAUACUCUCUUGCAACAUUAAAGGAUAUACUGUUUGCCACUAUACUGGUUAAAGUUGAUAGUCAGCUCUGCAAUUAGGUCCUAUUUUCGUUUCUGCCAUUGAAAAAAGGCUGGUCGGGUUUGUUGAAUUAUGAGUCAUGUUGGAUAGGACGGGUGUAUGGUUCACUCACCUUUAGUAUUGAUCGACGUGGGCCUGUCCGGUUGUCUUUGCUCAUUUAAGUCUAGCUAACUCCUAUGAUUAAUGGUUGCGCUCUUGAACAUUGUUCGUCUAAUUGUAAUAGAAGCUUGGCUAGAAUAUAGAGUUCUUUUAAGGUUUUAUUUGUUUCUUUUGCAAAGAUGUAUUAACCUCAAUUUAGUCGUUGCAAUUUUUAUAUUUAUGGGAAUCAUUGUUAAAUGUCCACCUAUUUUUUGAAAAGUAUCUAAAUUCUAAACUUGGCCUGAAGCAUUCCGAUUCUAUGGAGGUAUUGCCCCUAUAGAUCUUUUAAGCUGCAUAUAGUAAAAAGUACAUUUAUAACUACAUUUGAUAUUUGACAUUUAUACACGACAUUCACAAAGCUCAUGCAGGCCAAAUUGUAGGAGUUUGGUUUAGGUCAUGAUGCAUCGAGAGAUACAUUCACAGAUGGACCAGUCAAGUAUACCUUUCGAUGUAUUGUUGAUGCUCAGUCUUCUUAACAGUUUACCAGUAUGUGCUAUACAAUUUCAAACGCAUAUUUUGAUGCAUACUCUCCUCCAGAUUUCUAUGUGAAGGGGUAAACGAAAAAGGAUCCCUAUUUUCUUUUUGCAGGCUGCAGCUACUGCACCAAGAAGACUAUCCAGGCCUCAGAUUUUGUAUAAUCUGAUUUUGGUGGUGGUUUGGAUGGCUUGCCAUUACACUGCAGAAGAACUCUUGUUGAUGAAGUCACAAGA